rnacentral:rRNA from 1 species
CCUACGGGAGGCAGCAGUGAGGAAUAUUGGUCAAUGGACGAGAGUCUGAACCAGCCAAGUAGCGUGAAGGAUGACUGCCCUAUGGGUUGUAAACUUCUUUUAUAAAGGAAUAAAACGAGGCACGUGUGCCUUUUUGCAUGUACUUUAUGAAUAAGGAUCGGCUAACUCCGUGCCAGCAGCCGCGGUAAUACGGAGGAUCCGAGCGUUAUCCGGAUUUAUUGGGUUUAAAGGGAGCGUAGAUGGGUUGUUAAGUCAGUGGUGAAAGUUUGCGGCUCAACCGUAAAAUUGCAAUUGAUACUGGCAGUCGUGAGUACAGUUGAGGUAGGCGGAAUGCGUGGUGUAGCGGUGAAAUGCUUAGAUAUCACGAAGAACCCCGAUUGCGAAGGCAGCUUACUAAACUGUGACUGACAUUGAUGCUCGAAAGUGUGGGUAUCAAACAGGAUUAGAUACCCGAGUAGUC